ensembl:snRNA U6 U6 spliceosomal RNA
GGGCUUAUGUGGGCAACACAUAUGCUAAAGCUGGAGCAAUACCAAGAGGAUUAGCAUGGCCUCUGAGUAAGGAUGGCACAGAAAUUUGUGAUACAUUCUGUAUUUUA